GAGUCUGAAAGAUCUGAGUUCAAAUCUGGCCUCAGAUACUUUUUAGCUUUUGCCCCAGCUGACUCAUCUGUAAAAUGAGCUGGAGAAGGAAAUGACAAACCAUUCUAGCAUUUUUGCUAAGAAAAUACCAAAUGGGACCAUGACAACCCCAAAUGGGGCCAUGGCAACUGAAAUGACUGAACAAUAAACCAUUUGUGCAAUGGUCAGGCUAGUCAAAUGAUCAGCUUACUGUCCCUAUGCACAAUAUUCCUUCUCCUGCCUCAGUAUCUCUACAAAAGCUGUCUGGGCACUCGGAUUUUGGAUGCUGGUUCAGAACAGUUAUCCCACCUCUCUCUCCUGGAGAAUGGGGCACCAAUUAUCAUAUAUGCCAUCCAGAACCACUUGAAUGCUGUUAGACUUGGCAUGGGGCAUGGCUCACAGACUUGUCUGAGGCACAACAAUGUGAAAGUCUACCUUUACUUGCAAGAGUAUCAGGCUUAGAAAUAAAUACUCCAUGGAUUCCCACUUUACGGAUGAGAAAGCUGAGGCUCAUGAUUACAUAACAAGUCAAAGAUGGGAUUAAAACCCUAAUCUCUCUUUGACUGCCUAGUCUAAUUGUCUUUCACCAAACCAAAAUGCCAAAA